CCAAACUGGCUCCACUAGCUGCUGGAAUGGUAGUAGAAGCCAAUUUCCUGGAGUAUUUACAAAAUCAUUUGUAAGGAUAAUACUUUCCAGAUGUUUACAGGGAGGGCUAAGGGUGGCUUUUUAAUCUGCAGACUCCUCAGUCUUAGCAUAUAUUCAACAGGCAGUUGUGAGAAUGCCACCUCCCACUCUAACUCCUCCCCUCAACUCCCUUAUAUAUAAAGGCCCAAUUUAGGCAGGAGAUGGGGAAUGAGCUGUGGCCUUUGCCCUUCCAGCGGAUACCAGAAUCUACAGAAGCAGCAGAACCCAAACUGAAGAAAUUAACAGCAAAGAUGUGGCAGGAAAGCACAGGCUUGAGAAAGUAAAGACGGAAACAGGAGCGAAGAGGAAGAUGAAGUUGGAUGUCACUUAACAGUUAUCUCGAAACAAAAUGUUAUCAAAAAGAAGAGUAUUUUAUCCAGGAUUCAAGUACACAGUGUAGUGCUGGUCUCCCGUCCUCCAGCUCCUUCGCCCCCCGCCCCCCCAUUCCCCACCCCGGAAUGGAAAGGAAAAAGUCAACAUUCUUAGCAGUGUCUACUGCUAAGGUGCAAAGGUCAGGUUUGUAUUUUGUGGAUAGCAGCCUUCUCUUUUAGAAAAACACUGAAUUACUAUGAAGAAACAUUCAUUAAUUUACCUGAAACUACCUAAUACCUGGUUAAACCAUGGAAAUUAGAAUUGUCCAAUCAAUUAGGAUGAAUGAACAUGCAUUUGCUGAAUUGAAA